ACAGAGCAGUGCCCACGUGGGACACCUCAGCACUGAGGUGCAGCACUCAGCCCAGAGAUCCCCUUUGUCUGCAGGAUAGGGACGCAACCUCCAGCAGCCUCGCGUGGCCCCAGAGUUCCGGCAAGGGUCACGCAGGCAGGUGCUUCCCUCGGAUCUGAGGACCGCCACAGCUGUGCCACCAGCGCCCGCGUCUCUACUCUGGCCAAGAUCAGGCCUUAAGGCCCAAGCUUUGCUCCCAAAAAGACGUAGCUUUGACCUAAUUUUACACCUUGUCCGAGAACUGGGGAAUUUAAGGAGUUUCUGUACCUGGGAAGUCGAACCUAAAACUUUGUUUUUUUUUUUGUUUUUUUUUUUUAAGAUUUAUUUAUAUUUACUUAUUAUUAUAUGUAAGUACACUGUAGCUGUCUUCAGACACACCAGAAGAGGGAGUCAGAUCUCGUUACGGAUGGUUGUGAGCCACCAUGUGGUUGCCGGGAUUUGAACUCAGGACCUUCAGAAGAGCAGUCGGGUGCUCUUACCUGUUGAGCCAUCUCACCAGCCCGAACCUAAAACUUUGAAACACUGUUGAACGAAUUUGGAAGGUGUUAAGGAAUAAACAACUGAUUUUAAAAGCUACGGUUUGGAAAAGCUACGAAGAGCAAACACAAUCAGUAUGCUUUUCAAAUUAGCUCCAGACACAAUCACCUUCCAGAACCAAGUGUACACUGCCAGAGGCACAGGGGAAGCGGGUAGCCUCUGAAACACUAACGGGUUACCAUGCUUGCUUGAUUAGUAUUUCUCCUUUUAAAGUAUGUUCUCAGCCUGAGUAUAUUUUAACGAUGUGUUUGUGUGUGUGUGUGUGUGUGUGUGUGUGUGUGUGUGUGUAUUGCACCACAUGCAUACUUGAUGUCUACAGAGGUCAGAAAGGCUGUUGGAUUCCCCUGGAACUGCAUUUGGAAACAGAUGUGAUCUGCGUGUGGGAGAGAAAGCCAAGCCCUGGUGCUCUGGAACCAAUGCUCCUGCGGGCAAUGCUCUUGCUCCCUGAGCCAUCUCUAAAGACGAAUGUCCCUUCCACCCAGGAAUUUCUCUCUCAGACAUCAUCUGACCUGUGUGCAAAGCUGAGCAUGAGUGACUCCAUACCUCUCAGCUAGAAUAACGGAAAGCACUUAACUUCCCAUCCUUCAGAGUCCAACUAGCUAGAUCUAUGACAGACGCACAGAGUGGCCAAUGAGCAGAAGCACUGAAGAAAACAGACACAGUCUCCUGUUUCCAAGACAGCAAAGAGAACUGCAAAGGAGUAUGUGAAUCCAGGAGCACAUGCUGAGCUGCAUGCCUUUUAUGUUUGAUCUGACAUCUGAAACAACUGUGGUGGCAGAAACCACAGAUCUUCAGGAAAAAAUAAAUUCCUUAACAUUUCAUAUAUAUAAAGUAAAAUAAGGUUUUUUUCUUUUGAGACAUGGUCUCAUACUGUAGCCCUUGCAGACCUUAAACUCAUGGCAAUCUUUACUGCACCCAACUAGAAAAACUUUUAAAGUAAAUGAGUGAUGGCCACUUUAAAUACA